CUCACCAGAAAAUUUUACAAAACUCCAACCACCUUGAAGGGCUAAAAGGCCUGCCUACUCUACAAAUAUCCCUUGGGCCGAAAGGGCAUAUGAUGAGGAUAAAAGAUUGGAAUGUAACCUUGGACUGUAACCUGGAUUUAAAUUGGGGGGAGAGAGAGAGAGAGAGAGAGAGAGAGAGAGAGAUAUGCGCCGGGUUAGGUACCGUAGAGUGUAAAACUGAACAGAAAAGCAAGAAACCUUUCCCAUGGAUCAAAGGACAUUAACAAAGAUGGUAAAAGUAUAUGG